rnacentral:rRNA from 1 species
UUAAUGAGAGUUUGAUCCUGGCUCAGGACGAACGCUGGCGGCGUGCCUAAUACAUGCAAGUAGAACGCUGAAGAGAGGAGCUUGCUCUUCUUGGAUGAGUUGCGAACGGGUGAGUAACGCGUAGGUAACCUGCCUUGUAGCGGGGGAUAACUAUUGGAAACGAUAGCUAAUACCGCAUAACAAUGGAUGACACAUGUCAUUUAUUUGAAAGGGGGCAAUUGCUCCACUACAAGAUGGACCUGCGUUGUAUUAGCUAGUAGGUGAGGUAAUGGCUCACCUAGGCGACGAUACAUAGCCGACCUGAGAGGGUGAUCGGCCACACUGGGACUGAGACACGGCCCAGACUCCUACGGGAGGCAGCAGUAGGGAAUCUUCGGCAAUGGGGGCAACCCUGACCGAGCAACGCCGCGUGAGUGAAGAAGGUUUUCGGAUCGUAAAGCUCUGUUGUAAGUCAAGAACGGGUGUGAGAGUGGAAAGUUCACACUGUGACGGUAGCUUACCAGAAAGGGACGGCUAACUACGUGCCAGCAGCCGCGGUAAUACGUAGGUCCCGAGCGUUGUCCGGAUUUAUUGGGCGUAAAGCGAGCGCAGGCGGUUUGAUAAGUCUGAAGUUAAAGGCUGUGGCUCAACCAUAGUUCGCUUCGGAAACUGUCAAACUUGAGUGCAGAAGGGGAGAGUGGAAUUCCAUGUGUAGCGGUGAAAUGCGUAGAUAUAUGGAGGAACACCGGUGGCGAAAGCGGCUCUCUGGUCUGUAACUGACGCUGAGGCUCGAAAGCGUGGGGAGCGAACAGGAUUAGAUACCCUGGUAGUCCACGCCGUAAACGAUGAGUGCUAGGUGUUGGAUCCUUUCCGGGAUUCAGUGCCGCAGCUAACGCAUUAAGCACUCCGCCUGGGGAGUACGACCGCAAGGUUGAAACUCAAAGGAAUUGACGGGGGCCCGCACAAGCGGUGGAGCAUGUGGUUUAAUUCGAAGCAACGCGAAGAACCUUACCAGGUCUUGACAUCCCGAUGCUAUUUCUAGAGAUAGAAAGUUACUUCGGUACAUCGGUGACAGGUGGUGCAUGGUUGUCGUCAGCUCGUGUCGUGAGAUGUUGGGUUAAGUCCCGCAACGAGCGCAACCCCUAUUGUUAGUUGCCAUCAUUCAGUUGGGCACUCUAGCGAGACUGCCGGUAAUAAACCGGAGGAAGGUGGGGAUGACGUCAAAUCAUCAUGCCCCUUAUGACCUGGGCUACACACGUGCUACAAUGGUUGGUACAACGAGUUGCGAGUCGGUGACGGCGAGCUAAUCUCUUAAAGCCAAUCUCAGUUCGGAUUGUAGGCUGCAACUCGCCUACAUGAAGUCGGAAUCGCUAGUAAUCGCGGAUCAGCACGCCGCGGUGAAUACGUUCCCGGGCCUUGUACACACCGCCCGUCACACCACGAGAGUUUGUAACACCCGAAGUCGGUGAGGUAACCUUUUGGAGCCAGCCGCCUAAGGUGGGACAGAUGAUUGGGGUGAAGUCGUAACAAGGUAGCCGUAUCGGAAGGUGCGGCUGGAUCACCUCCUUUCUAAGGAA